GAUGAAGAACGCAGCGAAAUGCGAUAAGUAGUGUGAAUUGCAGAAUUCAGUGAAUCAUCGAAUCUUUGAACGCACAUUGCGCCCCUUGGUAUUCCAUGGGGCAUGCCUGUUCGAGCGUCAUUUGUACCUUCAAGCUUUGCUCGGUGUUGGGUGUUUGUCCCGAGGGACUCGCCUUAAAGUAAUUGGCAGCCAGUGUUUGGUUUUGAAGCGCAGCACAAGUCGCGAUUCAAGGCUACACGCCCGCUUCCACAAGCCUUUUUUCACUUUUGACCUCGGAUCAGGUAGGGAUACCCGCUGAACUUAAGCAUAUCAAUAAGCGGAGGA
rnacentral:misc_RNA from 1 species